UGGCCGCGGGAUUGGAAUCUUGCACAAUGGGCGAAAGCCUGAUGCAGCAACACCGUGUGAGCGAUGAAGGCCCUAGGGUCGUAAAGCUCUGUUGUUAGGGACGAAGGGCGAAGGGUUAAUAGCCCUUAGCCUGACGGUACCUUUCGAGGAAGCCCCGGCUAACUACGUGCCAGCAGCCGCGGUAAUACGUAGGGGGCGAGCGUUGUCCGGAAUUAUUGGCGUAAAGGGCGCGUAGGCGGCCUGGUAAGUCUGCUGUGAAACCUUGGGGCUCAACCCCAAGCGUGCAGUGGAUACUGUCAGGCUAGAGGAUGGUAGAGGCCAGUGGAAUUCCCGGUGUAGCGGUGAAAUGCGCAGAUAUCGGGAGGAACACCAGUAGCGAAGGCGGCUGGCUGGGCCAUUCCUGACGCUGAGGCGCGAAAGCAUGGGGAGCGAACAGGAUUAGAUACCCUGGUAGUCCAUGCCGUAAACGAUGAACACUAGGUGUGGGGGGAGUCGAAUCCCUCCGUGCCGAAGCCAACGCGUUAAGUGUUCCGCCUGGGGAGUACGGCCGCAAGGCUAAAACUCAAAUGAAUUGACGGGG
rnacentral:rRNA from 1 species